rnacentral:misc_RNA from 1 species
AGAUGGGUAACAAAAAAAUGGAAAGCCUGAUGAAGAAAAAAGGUGUGUAAAUGUUAAGCGCAAAGAGGCAUGGCUUAGAGAGAGAGGAGGGGAUAAGGAAGGUGGAAGCAAAACGUAGGGUAGCUAUUGAUCAAUGGAAUAUGUGGAUCCUUUAAUACUGUAGGUUUCCUUUCAUUAUCAAAAUGGAAGUCCCAACUACCAAGCACCACUUGAAGGCUCAGCACUUUUCUUCUUGAAUCUUUGAAGGCAAGACCAGGAUCUGAGAGAGUCGCUCUGCUUUCUUAAUCCUUGCUUUUGCAAAUCUUGACAUGGAUUCUCUUC